rnacentral:rRNA from 1 species
AGUGAACGCUGGCGGCGUGCUUAACACAUGCAAGUCGAACGAGAACGGAUUAAAGCUUGCUUUAAUUGUCAGCUAAGUGGCGCACGGGUGAGUAAUAUAUAGGUAACGUGCCUUCAAGAAGGGGAUAACAAUUGGAAACGAUUGCUAAUACCGCAUAAUGUCUACGGACCAAAGGGGGCUUCGGCUCGCACCAGAAGAGGAACCUAAGCGAGAUUAGCUUGUUGGUGAGGUAAAGGCUCACCAAGGCGACGAUCUCUAGCUGUUCUGAGAGGAAGAUCAGCCACACUGGGACUGAGACACGGCCCAG